UACAGAGGUGGCAAGCGUUGUUCGGAAUUACUGGGCGUAAAGGGCGCGUAGGCGGCUUUUUAAGUCAGACGUGAAAUCCCCCGGCUUAACCUGGGAACUGCGUCUGAUACUGGGAGCUUGAGUUCGGGAGAGGGAUGUAGAAUUCCAGGUGUAGCGGUGAAAUGCGUAGAUAUCUGGAGGAAUACCGGUGGCGAAGGCGGCAUCCUGGACCGAAACUGACGCUGAGGUGCGAAAGCGUGGGGAGCGAUCCGG
rnacentral:rRNA from 1 species